CAGUAGCCGCGGUAAAACGGAGGGGGCUAGCGUUGUUCGGAAUUACUGGGCGUAAAGCGCACGUAGGCGGCUUGGUAAGUUAGAGGUGAAAGCCUGAAGCUCAACUCCAGAAUUGCCUUUAAGACUGCCGAGCUAGCAGGUGAGAGAGGUAAGUGGAAUUCCGAGUGUAGAGGUGAAAUUCGUAGAUAUUCGGAAGAACACCAGUGGCGAAGGCGGCUUACUGGCUCAUACUGGACGCUGAGGUGCGAAAGCGUGGGGAGCAAACAGGUUUAGAUACCCGGGUAGUCCCUGUCUCUUAUAC
rnacentral:rRNA from 1 species